CAGUAGCCGCGGUAAAACGAAGUGGGCUAGCGUUGCUCGGAAUGACUGGGCGUAAAGGGCGCGUAGGCGGAUUGUUUAGUUAGGCGUGAAAUUCCUGGGCUUAACCUGGGGACUGCGCUUAAUACAGGCAGUCUAGAGUGAGGAAGAGGGUUGUGGAAUUCCCAGUGUAGAGGUGAAAUUCGUAGAUAUUGGGAAGAACACCGGUGGCGAAGGCGGCAACCUGGUCCUUGACUGACGCUGAGGCGCGAAAGCGUGGGGAGCAAACAGGAUUAGAUACCCCAGUAGUCCCUGUCUCUUAUAC
rnacentral:rRNA from 1 species